rnacentral:lncRNA from 1 species
UGACAGACUAAAACACUAGCAUUUUGUAAGGUACCGGACUUCUAAAACUAUGAAGUUACAGUGUACAUUUAAAUGGUUCCGGUGAGGUUGCGGUGGAAUGUAACAUACCGGAUAUUAAAUAUAAAAGUGAAAAUAAAUAAAAAUAGUAUGAGAUACUAUUUUUAUUGGAUUUAGAGAAGUGAAAUAUAAGUUGGGAAUGACCUGUGCUGAAAUCGGAGCGAAAACAGAAAAUUUAGAAUUUUCUGUAAGAAACGGGGCAGAUAAAUUAGCAGAAAAUGCAGUGUCAAAAAAUUAUGAAAAUUGGCGGAGAUGUCAGAAAUAUUUUUAUGAGGCUAGAUUUAAAGUUUCAUGCCAUUCUGCCACCCGGAAGGUGAAAAAUAGAAUCCGAAAGCUAUCUGAUAAAGAUUACAGUUUGGUACAGUUUUCGGUGACCAAACGAGGUCGAAACUGAAAUAUUAAAAUUUCUUUGGACUUAUUAAGUAAAAUCGAGCCUGCCUGUCAAAUUUGAGCUCAAACGGACAUUCAGAAGGGCUCCGGCAAAAAAUGUCAGUUUCUAAACUGCCCGAAGUGAAUAGUGCAUAGGUGAGGGACUAAGUUGUAAAAAGGGGUUUAAUCCCUUUUCUUCUCCUUCCUCAGCCGCAGCAGCCCCAAACCGCACACACACAUACGCAUACACACACGCAUGGAAGGGAGAGAGAAAACUUCCAUUUCUCUCUCUAAAUCUCUUCCAAAAUUAAAGAAAUUGGUGGAGAUUGAAGCUUGUAGGUGAAUCGUCUUCAUCUUCUUUAUCUUCUCUAUGGUUUGGAGCUAAUUUUGAGGUGAGCUUCUUGAGCCCUCUCAUGAUAGAUCUCUAGGAUUAGCUCUAUAUGCUAUAGAAAUGGAUUUAGUGGCAUUCUUAGAUGCUAAUUAGAUGUUUUAUUGCUUGAAUCCAAGGUUAUAUUGUGUAUUCUUGCAAUAGAUGAAACCUAGGGUUCAAAGUGCAAUUUUUGGAAAUAUGAGGGUUUGAUCUAAUUUGACCUUCCGUAAACCUAAUUGCUAGGUAAACGAACGCGUUGGCGAAGUCGGUUCGGCAAUUCGUCGAGCCGUUAUAGACUUAUGUUGGGGCACCGUGGCACAUAACCGAAGACCUUUAAUUUUCGGAUCGCAAAUCGGAGAUCGUUUGGGUGGUCGCGCGAGAGUUCGAGCCAAACCGGAUUGCGGGUGUCGCAGGCGGCCGAUUGCAAGUGAGUACAAGCAAUCGGAGAGUAAGUUAAGAUGGGUUGUGCUUACCGAAGCGACUAGGUCGCCGUUAUGUCUAAGAGAAUGUAAAUUCUUGUUGAUGCAUAGAUGUUUGUGCAUAUGAACAUAAUAGCAUUAUAGACUUAUGUUGACAAGUAUGAAAGCAUGCUAGAGAACAUGGAUAUAUGAAUAGAAGUUAACAUAUUGUUAAUCCUAUGAGUUAUGAGAUCAUGUUGGAUAAUGCUUAUUGACAUAAUGACAUAGUCUAGAAAUGCUAAAUGUAAUGUGCAUGUUAAUAUGAUAAGAAACCAUGCUAGUGAUAUUUGCAUGAUAAUGCAUUGAUAGUACAUGCUAGUAAGUAAAUGCAUAUUAAUACAUAUGUGUAUAAUGAGCAUGUUGGAUAAGAUUCGUGUACAUGUAGACUCGAGAUGACAAUAGGAUGUCAAGUAGAUCGAAUGGCACUUAACCUAGUGUUAAAGAACAUAGGUGGUGAAUGAAUCUAGGGUCAUGUGAACUAGAUCGAGUAGCAUCUAACCUAGUGUUAAAGAACAUAGGUUGAGAAUGAACCUUGAGUUAAUCGAAUCUAGGUGUGUGGUAUUAACCUAGUGUCGAGAACAUAGGUUGAGAAUUGAGCCUAGAGUUAAAGUAAACCUAGGAUACGUGAUAAAGGCAUUGAACCUAGAGUCAGUUGGACCUAGGGUGAAAAGGACACUGGACCUAGAUAGGCCGAUACUAUAGGGUUUCCUUGAGUCGUGAAAUGGAUUCCGGAAUCCCUAGUGAAGUGGCCGCAAAGGAAGCAGUGGCACUUGUGGUAAAAGAGAUGGCAAGCGAAUCAUAACUGCAGGUAUGUGUAGUUCUCCUCGCCUGGCAGUGAUUCAACGGGUAUGUGUGGUUCUCCUCGCCCGGAAUGCCAUAAGAAUAAGCUGGAAUUGGGUAUGUGUGGUUCUCCUCGCCCGGGAUGCCAUGAGAAUAAGCUGGAAUUGGGUAUGUGUGGUUCUCCUCGCCCAUUAGCUUAUCAGAUGAUGCCACCUAGAUUGACUUGAACCAUUGCUGGGUGAGAGCGAGUGGCCGCUGCCAGAUGACUAAGCCAAGAUUUGAGCCAUUGUUGGGUGUGAUGCGAUGAGUUCGCCGCCAGGUGGCUAAGUCAUGACUUGAGUCAUUGUUGGGUCGAUACGAUGAAUUUGCUGCCAGAUGGUUAAGUCAGAGGUGCGGUAGGCUGUGACGGCAGCCAGGCUGAGAUGCAGCCAGUGCGCGGACUAUCCGCGGACGAUUGACUCGAGGCCGAGUCGGGUGGUUAGCUUGAUUAGGUUAAUAGAAACCUUAUAAGCUAGUGAUAAAGGUAAGAACUAAAGUUAGCAAAGUAAAUGUAGAAUUAACAUAUCUACUAGUUGUUUAUACAGUUGCAUAGUUGCAUAAUAUUCCUGUUGCAUAUUGUGAGGCAAAGCAUGAUAUAUGUUAGUUGCAUUUAAAUUAUGAUUUCAUAUCUAUCUAUUGAACUAACGUGUUGUUGCCUCCUUGGACCAUUUGGUCGAGCUCCUCCCUUGGGUGGCCGUACCCACUGGGAACCAUGGAGUUGGUUCUCACCCCACGUUGUUUUGGGGUGUUUCAGGUUCGCACGUGAGCGGCGCGGCGGCGCGAGGAAAGGGCGUAGCUCCAUAGAUAGCGCCCUACCCAGAGACCAGCGAUAGCAAUACCCCAUCGACAUAGCCUAGGGGUUUGGAAAAUGAAAAGAAUACAAUGUAUCAAUUUGUAAUAAGCAAAUGAUGUAAUAACUUAAUUGCAUUUGGGAGUUGGAUGUAAAGUAAAUAUAUUAUUGUGAAUGCAUGUAAUAACAUAGGAUGUGUUAUGUUGUGAUACUUUCCUUAUGCAAUCAUGAUUGAUAUCUGUUCCUGGUUGGAACCCUUGUAAUGUUCAUUGUAUUGAUUGCGACGCCUAGAACGUACAGGGGAAACUCUGUCCGUUCGGCGGUCUGUCGACGCGCCCGAACUCGGCCAAAUAGGCGGGGCCCGAGGCGUGACACAUUUACUAUAUUAAUUAUGCAAUUAUGUGUUGUUAGGGGUCUUUUAUGCAAUUGCAGCAUAGGGGCUACCUCGGGCAGCGUGAUCCCACUGCUAGUGGACUUUCAAACUGGUUGUCCAAGGUUCGAUUGCUUUUAUGGAACGUAAUUAGGGUUCUGGUGCGGAUUGCAGCAAAAUCGCCGAUCGAAAAUUGAGGUUUU